GAGUUUGAUCCUGGCUCAGGAUGAACGCUAGCGGCAGGCCUAAUACAUGCAAGUCAGAGGGGUAGCAAUACCACUGGCGCACGGGUGCGUAACGCGUAUGCAACCUACCGUUCACUGGGGGAUAACACCGGGAAACCGGUGCUAAUACCGCAUAAAGCAGUUGCUGGGCAUCCAGGGAUUGCUAAAGUUUUGAUGGUGAACGAUGGGCAUGCGUCUGAUUAGCUAGUUGGCGGGGUAAUGGCCCACCAAGGCGACGAUCAGUAGGGGAUCUGAGAGGAUAAUCCCCCACACUGGCACUGAGAUACGGGCCAGACUCCUACGGGAGGCAGCAGUAGGGAGUAUUGGGCAAUGGGCGAAAGCCUGACCCAGCCAUGCCGCGUGCAGGAAGACGGCCCUCUGGGUUGUAAACUGCUUUUGUCGGGGAAGAAAAGGGCCGUGCGCGGCUCACUGACGGUACCCGAUGAAUAAGCCACGGCUAACUACGUGCCAGCAGCCGCGGUAAUACGUAGGUGGCAAGCGUUGCCCGGAUUUAUUGGGUUUAAAGGGUGCGUAGGUGGUCGGUUAAGUCCGUGGUGAAAGACGAUCGCUCAACGAUUGCAGUGCCAUGGAUACUGACCGACUUGAAUGACGUUGAGGUGGGCGGAAUUGACCGUGUAGCGGUGAAAUGCUUAGAUAUGGUCAAGAACCCCAAUUGCGUAGGCAGCUCACUGGACGUCGAUUGACACUGAGGCACGAGAGUGCGGGGAUCAAACAGGAUUAGAUACCCUGGUAGUCCCGCACCGUAAACGAUGAUUACUAACUGUUGGCGAUACACUGUUCAGCGGUACAGCGAAAGCGUUAAGUAAUCCACCUGGGGAGUACGCCCGCAACGGUGAAACUCAAAGGAAUUGACGGGGGGUCCGCCCAACCGGUGGAGCAUGU
rnacentral:rRNA from 1 species